CCGAGCGAGGGCCUCCGCGUCCGACCUCCAACCCCCAUGUUAUCCGACCCCGUUGCCUCGGGGGCGACCCGGCCCUGUGCCGGGGCCCCCGGUGGACCCCCCAACCCUGCAUCUAGCCGUCUGAGCUCAGAUACGAAUCAAUCA
rnacentral:misc_RNA from 1 species